rnacentral:rRNA from 1 species
AACGAACGCUGGCGGCAUGCCUAACACAUGCAAGUCGAACGAGACCUUCGGGUCUAGUGGCGCACGGGUGCGUAACGCGUGGGAACCUGCCCUUAGGUUCGGAAUAACUCCCCGAAAGGGGUGCUAAUACCGGAUAAUGUCUUCGGACCAAAGAUUUAUCGCCUUUGGAUGGGCCCGCGUUGGAUUAGCUUGUUGGUAGGGUAAAAGCCUACCAAGGCGACGAUCCAUAGCUGGUCUGAGAGGAUGAUCAGCCACACUGGGACUGAGACACGGCCCAGACUCCUACGGGAGGCAGCAGUGGGGAAUAUUGGACAAUGGGCGAAAGCCUGAUCCAGCAAUGCCGCGUGAGUGAUGAAGGCCUUAGGGUUGUAAAGCUCUUUUACCCGGGAUGAUAAUGACAGUACCGGGAGAAUAAGCGCCGGCUAACUCCGUG